rnacentral:rRNA from 1 species
AGAGUUUGAUCAUGGCUCAGGAUGAACGCUGGCGGCGUGCUUAACGCAUGCAAGUCGAACGAAGCACUUUAUUACAAUUUCUUCGGAAUGACGAUUUAGUGACUGAGUGGCGGACGGGUGAGUAACGUGUGGGUAACCUGCCUUAUACAGGGGGAUAACAGUUAGAAAUGACUGCUAAUACCGCAUAAGCGCACAGGAUUGCAUGAUCUGGUGUGAAAAACUCCGGUGGUAUAAGAUGGACCCGCG